rnacentral:rRNA from 1 species
GUCUAUGGCCAUACCACCCUGAAAGUGCCGAAUCUUGUCUGAUCUGGGAAGCUAAGCAGGGUCCGGCCUCAUUAGUACUUGGAUGAGAGAAAGCAAGCCUGCCAACC